AGUGAACGCUGGCGGUAGGCCUAACACAUGCAAGUCGAACGGCAGCACAGUAAGAGCUUGCUCUUACGGGUGGCGAGUGGCGGACGGGUGAGGAAUACAUCGGAAUCUACUUUUUCGUGGGGGAUAACGUAGGGAAACUUACGCUAAUACCGCAUACGACCUACGGGUGAAAGCAGGGGAUCUUCGGACCUUGCGCGAUUGAAUGAGCCGAUGUCGGAUUAGCUAGUUGGCGGGGUAAAGGCCCACCAAGGCGACGAUCCGUAGCUGGUCUGAGAGGAUGAUCAGCCAGACGGGAACUGAGACACGGUCCAGACUCCGACGGGAGGCAGCAGUGGGGAAUAUUGGGCAAUGGGCGCAAGCCUGAUCCAGCCAUACCGCGUGGGUGAAGAAGGCCUUCGGGUUGUAAAGCCAUUUUGUUGGGAAAGAAAAGCAGCAGGUUAAUACCCCGCUGUUCUGACGGUACCCAAAGAAUAAGCACCGGCUAACUUCGUG
rnacentral:rRNA from 1 species